UACAAGGCUCAGAAAACACCAAAAAAAAAGCAUCAGAGGGGGGAAAUGUAGGAGGCAGAGUAAGAAGACUGUGUAACACAAAGACAUCGUUUGAACAUGACAUGUAACACCCAUAAACUCACGGUAGCUGUGGUUAGCAGCACAGGAUUGGACACACAGCAUGGCUACAGGCAGACCUGUGAGAAUCUACCUGUCCCUGGGGAUCCAUUGGCAGUUAACGGUCUCUGAGGAAGGGAGUAUCAUUUUCUUCAGUGAUACAGCCCCUGGUAUGUUACUCUUGCUCCAGUAAGUAACCUCCUACCCAAUCUUGUGCAAGAAACCUAAUUAAACUCAGUGGGUCUCACACAAGAAGGAAGGCAUGAAGGUAGGAGGGAGAACUCUUUGGACAAAAUGUUCCAGCAGGAAAGGGAGGAUAAGAAAGGGAAUGGAGAGUACAAAUAACUUCAAUUCAUUAGAUAGAUAGAUAGAUAGAUAGAUAGAUAGAUAGAUAGAUAGAUAGGUAGGUAGGUAGGUAGGUAGGUAGGUAGGUAGGUAGGUAGGUAGGUAGNNNNNNNNNNUGUAGGUAGGUAGGUAGAUAGAUAGAUCUCUUAGAAAGUACUGUCAAAAUUUUAAUGGGAAAAAAAACAGUAGAUUGUCAGACAAGAAAACAGCUAAGAGAGGAAGAGAGUUAAACACCCAGGCCUGUUUUGGUGGCAUGUUUGGUGAGGUUGUAGAACCUUUAAGAGGCACUUUUCUAGGAGAACUAUAUUCUGGGGGCAGGUGUUAAGGGUUCAUAGCCUGGUUUCCACUUCCAGUCUUGGAUCACUGCUUGGGUUAAGAGUUGGAUAUACUAUCUCUCACACUUCUGGCCUGAUGGCUUGCAGCCAUGCAUUCCCCUAAUGCUUGUAGACUCCCCCUCUGGAACACCCUAAGCCGAAAGAAACUCCUUUGCUGCCCUGGUGUUUAUAGUAGCAACAGAAAAGUGGCUUACGUAAGUUUCCAGAGAACAUACAAGAAACAAGAGAUGACCUGAGCCUGCACAUUUAUCUUCUCCAGCCUCCAAGACUGGGACCCUCGAAUACAAGAACAACUUAGGACAGCUUGGCUCAUAUUUAAGGAAGUCAGGACACGGUGAAUAUGAAUCCGUACAUGCAAUUUAUCAUGCCUGAUGCGGAGCAAGGAAACAAGAAUAAAACA
rnacentral:lncRNA from 1 species